AGCAUCUGGGGAUAGUAUUAUAUAGGCUCUAACAACCCAAGGUCAGGAAAAUGUGGCAAUGAUAUACGAUUGAACCGCUUAUAUAUAUACAUGUAUUAUGUAAGAAGUAUUACCAGGCGCGCGACUGAUUCUUGAGUGCAAUAAUACCAACAUUUUUUUAUUACAUGCCAUGGUUAUAGUUAGACACUGUUCCCAUGUAGUUCCCUAGUCUCAUGAAUCAGAUCUUAUCAACUAGUGCGUCUAUAAGAUAUUGGCCUGGUAGUAGAUUGUGGUCAAGGGCCUUGAUCAUUUCUACUACAUUGUACAAGUCCUGCAUUAUCUACUACAAAGCAGUCUGCAUAAUUAUACUGAGGUUCCAUUUAGCUUGCGUAGUUCAGUGUUCCUAAGGCCAUUAUACUUAAUUUCGGGUAAUUUUAUUAUCUAGUAGGUAUUUUGCAUGUAUGCAGGUUGGAUUGCAGAUUCCAGGAACAUCUAUAAUUAUUAGGAUUGGAGAUAACACACCCUGACAUUUCUCCGAACUACGAUUCCAACGCUAGUUGGGACUUUGCACAAGGCGAUAGUGACCCCACUCCUACCACAUACUCUGGUGAUGAGCCA